GCGGGAGCCCCCUCCCCUCCCCCGACCGCAGCAGCAGCCCUCAGGAGAAGAUGGCAGCUGUGCAGGAGGCCUGUGGCAAGGCCCUGGAGCAGAGGGUGGAGGCCUGGCUGGCUUGCUCCUCCAACCGCAGGCUGACUCUGACGCGCCAGGGGAGGAGGUGGGCAAGAGGACAGACACCACCACCCCCGGCAGGUACAGCUGGCUUUGGGCAGGGGGUCUUCGCCAGACUGCAGUGGACCAGAUGCAGGCUUUGGGAUCUGCAGGCCACCAGCCUUGUGAGAAAGGGCGGGGAUGCGGUCGGAAAUCGGCUGUGGGGAAGCAUGGCUGUUCAGAAAGGCUUCUGCUUGCUCUCAGGUGGAAAGAGAAAUCAGUGGGGAGAGAAGGCAGGGGAGCUGCAGAGGGUCUCAGUCCUUGGUGAAGCUAAUGGGUCCUUGGGAGAUGUGGCUGGGGGUGAGGGUCUGGGGCAUUAGGUGUCCCACCCAGUUUUGCUUCCUCAGCCUUCAUCCCAGUCAUUAAUCAAAAUAUCCAACCACCUUCGGUGUCAUCCCCCGCCCCACCUCCUAUUUCAGGAGAACCACCACUGAGCCCUCUUAGAAUAUGAUUUUUGAGCAUCUAAAAGACCGGAAGUGAUAUUUUCUCAAUUUUGUUCCAAAGGAUCUGGAAGUUGGAGGAAUAAGAGGCCGAGGAGGGUCCCCAGUUUCAUCUGCAGCUCUUCCCACUUCGCUCCUGGCAGCGAACUAAGAGGCACUUAAAGAUGCUUGAAAAUUGUCCUCCCGUUACUCAUUCCAGUUGAAGGACUAACAAAACCCUUUAAGAGUUUUCUUUCUUAGAACAGUUUUAGGUUUCUUUCUCACAAAUAAUGUGCCCUUCUUAUCGUUGGUUUGGCUUUCACUUGUAAAAUAAUAAUUGGAUUCAUUGUCUGAACUGUUGUAGUCACUUACUUGAUAAUUUCCUACCCUUUAUAAAAGAGAAUACAGAAAUAUUUGCAUAAUACAUAAUAAAAGAGAAUACAGGACUUCCCAUCGUUCUCUCUUCUUUAGCUCCCUGACGAAGGAAGCACCAAGGCCAGAGGUUUUGAGUAUUUUAGGGUAGAAGCAGCACCAGAUUCCCAUCUCCAGGAGAAGCAAGAGUGGAGCUGGGGCCUCGAGCAGCACCGGGCCUGACAUCUUCUGACUGCAGGGUCACCGGCUGGAGAAGCUGCUGGGUUACCCCCGGAAAGUAGAAGCAAACACGUAUGGAUAAGGUGACCACGAGGUAUGUUUUGUUGUGUUACAUUAGCUUAUGUGUUACAUUAUUAUGCUGUGUCAGCAGGCUUGGGGACCUCAAGGAAAUGGUGAUCUAAUGAAAUGUCUGCUCUGUUUUUAACAUCAAUUUUUCUGUACUAUCUUGCUAUUAAUAAUAUUGCUGAUGAGUUUAUAAUUGUAGUUUUAAUGUUUGGUUUUACAACUGUUUUUAUUGUGCACUACCUAGAGUCACUUUUCUGAGAGAUGGGUGGCUAUAUAAAUAAAAUAAACAAAUGUGAGCCAGUACCGUGAUGUGGCUGCAGAAAAGGCAAAUAUAAUUUUAGGCUGCUUUGAUGGAAGUAUAAUUCCCAGAUCACAUGAACUAAUAAUUCCGGUUCUGGGCACAAGAUUAUAAGAAGGAUUCAGAGAACGUGGAAGAGGUUCAGAGAAGGGCGACAGGGAAAACCAGGGUACUAUUGAGGGAGGCUCAAUCUUUUUUUUUUUUUAAUUUUGCUGUAGUAGUUUGCAUAAAGAUGCAACUCUUAUUCUUACGUGCUGGAAAGAAAGAUAAUUUGUGUUUUCUUUUCCUUUAUAUCUUGGUUAGCUGAAUAAGUUUGUUUUUAUAUAUGAUGUUUUAUUGUAUUUCCUUUUCUAUAUCGGCUAUCAUUUUUAAUACAUAGUUUUGUUUCAAUCACUUGCAGCGUAUGCACAAGUUUGAAAUGUCUGAAUGGUAUUUACAAGUUUUGUAUAUCUUUCUCUGAUUUCAUCUGGAGGUUUUAAGCAAAUUAAUAAAAUGAUUGUUUAAAGAAAGGACGGAAGUAGAGACCGAGAUCAAAAGUGAAAGAUUGAAGGGCUUGUGAAAAAUGGUCCCGGGGACGGUCUUCAAAUACCUGAACGAGCGUUCUAGGAUUCUGGGAGUCGAAGUCCACACAUCUUACAGAAUGUGGAUCUGUGCUUAAUUACGAUGACUCUUUAGAGUAGAAAAGGAGCUAUGAAAACAACAGAAGCGUUGUCAGAGCCAAGCGGAGAAUUGUGAAUGAUCAGGGCGCUGCCAAGAGUCCACAGCGACUUACUGCGCCUGCCGAAUGGUUUGCUGCCUGUCAAAAGUACAAAACUCGUAACAUUCUACAAGGACUAAGCGGAUGAGUUGAUGGAAAAGUUACAGCUGCAGCCGAAGCUGGAAGAAAAGCCAAGGUGCUGAGACCCGCCUUAGGAGGAUUAAUCCCCCAGGAUCAGAAGAGAAUUGCGUGGCCUCCAGAGGGCGGUGGGCAGCCUCCCUUUAAAUGCCUGAAGAACCCCCUGCAGCAUAAUCUCCCUCCAGUUCUGCGUGUGGGUCCCUUGAAGGGGGUGUCAUGAACGGGAUGGCUGCCUCCUGGUUCAGCCUCCGGAUCAUUUAAGUUUCAGGCAGCGGGAGCUCCCUCCGGCCCCUGAGAGUGCUCCCGGUUCUAUCCGGAGGCCUCCUAGAGGCCAGAGGUGGCAGCUUAAAUAUGCGAAAAGAAUAUAUAUAUUCUAUAUUCCUAUAGUGGUUACGUUCCAUAUCUGCACUUUUAUAAAAUAUUUCCAAGAAAAUGUUUAUGUAUUUUUUCCACUGAAGCAAAGUGUAUAAAACCUUACACAUCAAACAUAGAGGUGCAUCUUAGAGGUGAAGCAAUUCCUAUUUGCGGGUGAAAAUCCUAGGGAGACCAAAGCCAUUUUAACAGAAUUUCUGAUCAUGAGCAAAACCAGUUUAGUUCCAGUUAACCAGCGGUCCUCAUUUAACCACUCAUUCAGGAACUGUUUGAAGUUACAACGGUGCUGAACGAGCGGUACUUACGACUGGUCUUCAGAGUUCUGGCUGUCACAGCA